AUUGAACGCUGGCGGCGUGCCUAAUACAUGCAAGUCGAACGCAGUGGGGACGGGUGAGUAACAAGUGGGUAACCUCCCAUCAGAGGGGAUCACACUUGGAAACAGGUGCUAAACCGCUACUGAUGUAUUGACCCCCGGUGCAUUAGCUAGUUGGGGAGGUAACGGCUCACCAAGGCCACGAUGCAUAGACGACCUGAUAGGGUGAUCGGCCACACUGGUACUGUGACACGGCCCAGACUCCGACGGGAGGCAGCAGUAGGGAAUCUUCGGCAAUGGACGAAAGUCGGACCGAGCAACGCCGCGUGAGUGAAGAAGGUUUUCGGAUCGUAAAACUCUGUGGUUAGAGCAGCGGGAUCUAACCAGAAAGUCACGGCUAACUUCGUGCCAGCAGCCGCGGUAAUUC
rnacentral:rRNA from 1 species